GUGUUGGGGAUUAACAACAUUGUACAGUACAUGUGUGUUGGAAGUGGAUACGUUGCUAGUGCUAUACCAUUUAGAUGCCAGUCUGGGUAAUUUUCUAAAGGGACAGCUCUGCAGAUAAACCUUUCUGUGCUGCAGAAUUAAUUGCAGAGUAAAUCUAAGGCAGAAUGUUACGCUUAUCCUUGUGUGCUAAUCAAAGGUGAAUAGUUAAAUUUGAAAUUCUUAUUGAUGUCUGUAGAAAAAGACACUGGCACUGUAAAGGGGAGGUGCUGUAGGUCAGUAGCUUAAAACUUGUUCAAAUAUAUAGGUGACCCAGUUAGGAAUCUGAGCAAGAGGUGAGCGUAUCUUUGGACAAUGUGAUCUGCACAGCAUUUUCAUGUGAGUACAAUGAAGUUGGAGAAAGAAAUGAUCAAAAAAGAAAAAAAUAGUGCUUAUAAAUGAUGACUGGACAAGCUCUGAUUCUCAGAGUUAGGAACAGUCCUGAUUUAUUACUUCUGCAGGAAUAGUUUUGGUCCUGACAUCUGUUUCAAACUACUCCUAGUAUUUCAAAACUACAUGUUCUAGCCCUGCAGAGACAAGAUUUCUGUGCUGGUAUCAGUGUCUGUGCUCAGCUCAAGUUAGAAUGUCACCAGCAGCAUCUGCCUGAUGUUUCACUGGUUUUGCAGAUCAGAAUAAGGGCUCAGCAAGAAAAAUGCUGUGAGACCAGCUCAGUGCCACAAAGGGUUUUGAUGGACAGCUGCGAGUUGGCAAAUACAGUGCUGUGGAUGAAUUAACUGUGGGAGGCUGAACCUUCCAGAUUUACGUGAUAAAUCGGAGAACUCCUCAAUUUGCUACGGAGAUGUCUGAUCCUGCCAGCUUUCCUGUCUCCUCAAAGCUUCCCAGCCACAUUCUUCCACCUCUGAGAACCUGCUGCUUUGGUCAGAAGAACAAGAACAAAUGCUCCUUAGGUCCCCUAAGGAGACUCUCACACCUUCCCUGUUGUCUGAGGUCAGUAUUUUUGUGUUCUUUAUAUUCUGCCGUUUUAAGCAAAGCCUUAAGCUUCUUGUCAAAGAAGGAGGACAGCAAGAAUUUCAGUGCAGCCACUUCAGC